rnacentral:rRNA from 1 species
GUGAGGAAUAUUGGUCAAUGGGCGAGAGCCUGAACCAGCCAAGUCGCGUGAAGGAAGAAGGAUCUAUGGUUCAUAAACUUCUUUUGCAGGGGAAUAAAGUGCGAGACGUGUCCUGUUUUGUAUGUACCCUGAGAAUAAGGAUCGGCUAACUCCGUGCCAGCAGCCGCGGUAAUACGGAGGAUCCGAGCGUUAUCCGGAUUUAUUGGGUUUAAAGGGUGCGUAGGUGGUUUGAUAAGUCAGCGGUGAAAGUUUGCAGCUUAACUGUAAAAAUGCCGUUGAAACUGUCGGACUUGAGUGUAAAUGAGGUAGGCGGAAUGCGUGGUGUAGCGGUGAAAUGCAUAGAUAUCACGCAGAACUCCGAUUGCGAAGGCAGCUUACUAAGCUACAACUGACACUGAAGCACGAAAGCGUGGGGAUCAAACAGGAUUAGAAACCCUGGUAGUCC